rnacentral:rRNA from 1 species
CUAUCUGCAGUCGAGCGGAGUUAUAAGAAGCUUGCUUUUUUGAGACUUAGCGGCGGACGGGUGAGUAACACGUAGGCAACCUGCCCUUUAGCCUGGGAUAACUACCGGAAACGGUAGCUAAUACCGGAUACUUUCUUUUUCUGCAUGGAAAGAGAACGAAAGACGGAGCAAUCUGUCACUGAAGGAUGGGCCUGCGGCGCAUUAGCUAGUUGGUGGGGUAACGGCUCACCAAGGCGACGAUGCGUAGCCGACCUGAGAGGGUGAUCGGCCACACUGGGACUGAGACACGGCCCAGACUCCUACGGGAGGCAGCAGUAGGGAAUCUUCCGCAAUGGGCGAAAGCCUGACGGAGCAACGCCGCGUGAGUGAUGAAGGUUUUCGGAUCGUAAAGCUCUGUUGCCAGGGAAGAACGUCUUGGAGAGUAACUGCUCCGAGAGUGACGGUACCUGAGAAGAAAGCCCCGGCUAACUACGUGCCAGCAGCCGCGGUAAUACGUAGGGGGCAAGCGUUGUCCGGAAUUAUUGGGCGUAAAGCGCGCGCAGGCGGCCGUUUAAGUCCGGUGUUUAAUCCCGAAGCUCAACUUCGGGUCGCACUGGAAACUGGAGGGCUUGAGUGCAGAAGAGGAGAGUGGAAUUCCACGUGUAGCGGUGAAAUGCGUAGAGAUGUUGAGGAACACCAUUGGCGAAGGCGACUUUUCUGGGGCUGUAACUGA